UUCAAGGUUGUACAAUGGGUUAGUUUCAAUGCCCAAGGCAGAGCACUGGACUGGAUACCCAGGGAACUGUGCUCCCAUUAAUAAGAAGUAUU
rnacentral:rRNA from 1 species